CGACUGUGAUUGGUUUACAGAAAUGCCAAUAAACCACAGCACGUUUUUCUCCCAUCCAGGAAUGCUGUGUGGACUAGCAAGACCUUCCUCUGCAGCGCUGUGGAGGAAGAUCUGGACAUGCAAGACUAUUAUUUUCCAUCUGUGACUCU